rnacentral:rRNA from 1 species
GUGGGGAAUAUUGGACAAUGGGCGAAAGCCUGAUCCAGCCAUGCCGCGUGUGUGAAGAAGGUCUUCGGAUUGUAAAGCACUUUAAGUUGGGAGGAAGGGCAGUAAGUUAAUACCUUGCUGUUUUGACGUUACCGACAGAAUAAGCACCGGCUAACUUCGUGCCAGCAGCCGCGGUAAUACGAAGGGUGCAAGCGUUAAUCGGAAUUACUGGGCGUAAAGCGCGCGUAGGUGGUUUUGUAAGUUGGAGGUGAAAUCCCCGGGCUCAACCUGGGAACUGCCUCCAAAACUGCAUGACUAGAGUACGGUAGAGGGUAGUGGAAUUUCUUGUGUAGCGGUGAAAUGCGUAGAUAUAGGAAGGAACACCAGUGGCGAAGGCGACUACCUGGACUGAUACUGACACUGAGGUGCGAAAGCGUGGGGAGCAAACAGGAUUAGAUACCCGGGUAGUCC